CCAGGGAGUAGGGAAUUUGACGUUCUAGGUCUUCCAUGUGGUAGGGCAUUUGAUAACGGGGUGGGGAAUUUGAACCGGAAGUCUUAAAAUUUUGCCCGUUUCGCGUGCUUCCUGCAUGCACAGAAAAUACUUCGCAUUGGCGGCAAAUACAGUUUUCUCAGAUUUCGAGGGAAACGGCCUUCAUUUUGUGAAUAACUGGCUCAAAGAAACGGGCAUGGAAAAUCUAUGUGCUUCAUUUGAAGGUAUGUACUACAUAAUUGUGUAAAACUGUUAAAUUUCCACAAGGUAUCCAAAGUUUUUACGUGAAUUUCGCUAUCUUGUCGAAAAACAUUUCCGUAUAUUUUGUACUUUUUGUAUUUACUGUUUCAUAAUUUUCAUAUGAAGGUGGGGCAUUUGAACGCUUAAUUUAUUGUUACAGUGGGGCAUUUGAAGACAUUUUUUGCACAGGGGGUGGAGAAUUUGAUCAGUCAAAUUUCAAAAAGUUCAAAUUCCCGGGGUCGGCCCGGGGGGGGAUGGCGAAGUUUCGAAUUGAUCGAUACAUAAUUUCUCAAAGCAAAUCGCAUGCUACUACAUCACCUGGCGACACUGCCGUCAGUACAUCAAAUUCAGAAAGAGUGUUGGGGAAUUUUAGAAAUCUUUUUGGGCUGUAUGGGCAUACUGGUCGCCGAUGUCUAAGUUCCUC